GACGAACGCUGGCGGCGUGCCUAACACAUGCAAGUCGAACGAAGCUCUAAACCUUAAGAUUCGUCGAGAGGUGAGGAUGACUUAGUGGCGGACGGGUGAGUAACGCGUGAGCAACCUGCCCCUCGGAGCGGGACAACAGUUGGAAACGACUGCUAAUACCGCAUAAUGUAUUAUGAUGACAUCAUCUAAAUACCAAAGAUUUAUCGCCGAAGGAUGGGCUCACGUCUGAUUAGCUAGUUGGUGAGGUAACGGCUCACCAAGGCUGCGAUCAGUAGCCGGACUGAGAGGUUGAACGGCCACAUUGGGACUGAGAUACGGCCCAGACUCCUACGGGAGGCAG
rnacentral:rRNA from 1 species